UACGGAGGGGGCUAGCGUUGUUCGGAAUUACUGGGCGUAAAGCGCACGUAGGCGGCUUUGUAAGUUAGAGGUGAAAGCCCGGGGCUCAACUCCGGAAUUGCCUUUAAGACUGCAUCGCUAGAAUUGUGGAGAGGUAAGUGGAAUUCCGAGUGUAGAGGUGAAAUUCGUAGAUAUUCGGAAGAACACCGGUGGCGAAGGCGGGUCUCUGGGCCGAUACUGACGCUGAGGAGCGAAAGCGUGGGGAGCAAACAGG
rnacentral:rRNA from 1 species